UUCUUAUCUUCCCCAUUCUUCCCUUCCUACCUCCUCCUCUGUUGCCACACGCUAGAUCCCCCAUCCACAGCCGGCACUCUCUGGUGGGCGCCCCUCCCAUUCGUCACCAUUGUCGGCGGACACAUAGGCCCAUGCUCUUCCCUGCCCCGCCCCUUCUUCAUAUCCGAUCCCCGAAGUGCUCGAGGAGGCGCUCGAGCUCGGCAUGCUCGCCGGCGACACCGGGGCCCUCCCUCCUCCUGAUGCACUCUCCGUCGCCGCCAUGAGCGUCUCCACCUUCUCCCGCGCGCCGUGAAUCCUCCCUCCCCCCUGCUCGAGACGCCAUCAAGGUCCGGUUCCAACUCUUCUUCUCCCCUCGAUCCGGAUGCUCUGCUCUCCGACACCAUCUUUUUGCUUGUUCGAUUCAGUCUGGAGCAGGAGCAGCUGCUGCUCGCGACCUCUAGUUCCUUCUUUCCAUGGAUGUGCUGCUGCUCGGGGCCCUCCCUAUGCUUCUCCUCGCUCGUACGGGUCCAGGGUUAGCUGCUCAGGGGACAUGGUGUGUUCCGUGUGGCGCUGCCUUCGCGGCAGCCGCCGUUGUUGUGUCUCGUGUGUCGCGGCAGCCAAUGGGUCGGGAAGGUCUGAGACUGGAGGUCCCUGCUCGCCAACUCACAGACGGUUGUUCUCCGACCAGUUAAAAAUGAAUUUUUUGAAGGAGAAGGAGGUGCGAAAGGGGAUGGGAGCAACAAGUCUAAAUCGAAGAGAACUGAUAGCAUGUCCUGCCAUGAGGAAUUUGAAGCGGUCAGAAGACAUAAGAGCCGGGUCCUAAACUAUGUUAAGGCCAUGCUGAUGUGUAAGAGUUUGCGGGUGACAUCCUCCAUGGCAAUCAUAUUCCCUCCAACAUCCUUCAGGCCAUGGCGACCAGGUCAAAGAAGUCGAACCUGAAGAAGUGCAGGGAAGAAUUAUGGUUGCGUGUGGCUGGCUGGUUCAGGGGAAUUUCAGGGCGGGCGCGGCGGCACGGGUGCCGGAGCAGGCUCCUAGGCACUGGCGAUCUGUCGGACGGAUAUUAGAAACGAAGGUGAAGGAGGAGCGGCCGCCCACUCGACGGUGCGGUGUAGGGCGGCGAGGGAGGCCGGCAGGGAGGCCUCAAUGCGGUGCAGGACGGCGAGGGAACCGUCCAGCGAGGCGACGAUGCGAUGCAGGGAUCCAGGCCGCCGUGCAGGGAGGCGACAUGACUGCUGAGCUUCGUCUGGGGCGGUGGCGAGGAAAGGCAGGGAGUGGGGCCAGGGACACGAUUAGGUCCGAUUUCCUUUUUUUGCGAGUUGGUUAGAUGGUUAGAUUAGCGUGAUUUGAGGGGCUGCGGAUGCGGGACGGAGAGUUUCAUAUUUUCCUCUUGUGGAGUAUGGUCAGUCUAUUGAAACUGCUAAGCGCACACCAGAUCUUGAAUAAAUUAAUGAUGACUGUUGGAUUGGGUCGUGUGGGCUUCA